AUUGAACGCUGGCGGCAGGCCUAACACAUGCAAGUCGAGCGGUUGAGGUAGCUUGCUACCGAUGCAGCGGCGGACGGGUGAGUAAUACAUGGGAAUCUGCCUGGUAGUGGGGGACAACGUUUCGAAAGGAACGCUAAUACCGCAUACGCCCUACGGGGGAAAGGGGGGGAUCUUCGGACCUCUCGCUAUCAGAUGAGCCCAUGUCGGAUUAGCUUGUUGGUGAGGUAAAGGCUCACCAAGGCGACGAUCCGUAACUGGUCUGAGAGGAUGAUCAGUCACACUGGAACUGAGACACGGUCCAGACGCCUACGGGAGGCAGCAGUGGGGAAUAUUGGACAAUGGGCGCAAGCCUGAUCCAGCCAUGCCGCGUGUGUGAAGAAGGCCUUAGGGUUGUAAAGCACUUUCAGUGGGGAGAAAGGUUAUUCACCUAAUACGUGAGUAAAUUGAUGUUACCCACAGAAGAAGCACCGGCUAACUCCGUGCCAGCCGCCGCCGUAA
rnacentral:rRNA from 1 species